rnacentral:misc_RNA from 1 species
AUCCAAUCAGGACGAAAGGCUUAUUAAGAUCUGCCGCCGGUUGUGAUUUCAGUGUUGCCAUCGUUUGUCGGUUCUUGAAAUGCAUCUAUCUUCUAUCUAGCACAAGUGAUGGGUAUGUUUAGGAGAUUAGCUGGGCUUCUAGGGUUUUCAAAGGAUGAAGGUCACGAAGUGAGAGAUGAAAGUGUAGGACCUCACAAUAAUCUUCCUCGUAAAGGAUUCAGUGUCCCUGUUCAGGUUCCUGUUUCCAGAGAUCUACCUGGUCCUAUCCUUGUUCAAUGCAAUAGAGGUGCUGGAGGCGUUCAGGGAUUGAGAUGGUAUGCCAAGCGUCUUAGAAUAGAUGAAGACGGAGAUGUGGCAGACGAG